rnacentral:rRNA from 1 species
AUGGGCGUCGACCGGCGCACGGGUGAGUAACGCGUAUCCAACCUGCCCAUCACUUGGGGAUAACCUUGCGAAAGUAAGACUAAUACCCAAUGACGUCUCUAGAAGACAUCUGAAAGAGAUUAAAGAUUUAUCGGUGAUGGAUGGGGAUGCGUCUGAUUAGCUUGUUGGCGGGGUAACGGCCCACCAAGGCGACGAUCAGUAGGGGUUCUGAGAGGAAGGUCCCCCACAUUGGAACUGAGACACGGUCCAAACUCCUACGGGAGGCAGCAGUGAGGAAUAUUGGUCAAUGGACGAGAGUCUGAACCAGCCAAGUAGCGUGCAGGAUGACGGCCCUAUGGGUUGUAAACUGCUUUUAUAAGGGAAUAAAGUGAGUCUCGUGAGACUUUUUGCAUGUACCUUAUGAAUAAGGACCGGCUAAUUCCGUGCCAGCAGCCGCGGUAAUACGGAAGGUCCGGGCGUUAUCCGGAUUUAUUGGGUUUAAAGGGAGCGUAGGCCGGAGAUUAAGCGUGUUGUGAAAUGUAGACGCUCAACGUCUGCACUGCAGCGCGAACUGGUUUCCUUGAGUACGCACAAAGUGGGCGGAAUUCGUGGUGUAGCGGUGAAAUGCUUAGAUAUCACGAAGAACUCCGAUUGCGAAGGCAGCUCACUGGAGCGCAACUGACGCUGAAGCUCGAAAGUGCGGGUAUCGAACAGGAUUAGAUACCCUGGUAGUCCGCACGGUAAACGAUGGAUGCCCGCUGUUGGUCUGAAUAGGUCAGCGGCCAAGCGAAAGCAUUAAGCAUCCCACCUGGGGAGUACGCCGGCAACGGUGAAACUCAAAGGAAUUGACGGGGGCCCGCACAAGCGGAGGAACAUGUGGUUUAAUUCGAUGAUACGCGAGGAACCUUACCCGGGCUUGAAUUGCAGAGGAAGGAUUUGGAGACAAUGACGCCCUUCGGGGCCUCUGUGAAGGUGCUGCAUGGUUGUCGUCAGCUCGUGCCGUGAGGUGUCGGCUUAAGUGCCAUAACGAGCGCAACCCCUCUCCUUAGUUGCCAUCAGGUCAAGCUGGGCACUCUGGGGACACUGCCACCGUAAGGUGUGAGGAAGGUGGGGAUGACGUCAAAUCAGCACGGCCCUUACGUCCGGGGCUACACACGUGUUACAAUGGCAGGUACAGAGAGAUGGUCCUCUGCAAAGCGGAUCAAAUCCUUAAAGCCUGUCUCAGUUCGGACUGGGGUCUGCAACCCGACCCCACGAAG